rnacentral:siRNA from 1 species
AUAAAGGAGGUAGGGGUGCA